UCCUACUCCUCCAGGAAGCGCGCCUGGACUAGACGGCCCGGCGCGCCUUCUCUGGGCUACGCCCUGGCCCGCGGAGCCAGCCGCCCUCCUGGCUCGGCGGCGUCGGGUUUGCUCGCAGCGCGCCUCGCGGUUUCUCCCCUGGCCUCUUUGCGCCCUCGGCUUUCACUUGGGUCAAGGCCUUGGCUCGCGGCUUCUUUCCUUCCCAAGAUGGCCCACCGCCCGGUUUUCCUUUCCGAACAGGCAGGAUCCCGGCCCGGGACGCGCCUUCUCUGGCUCCUGUUCUGCUAGCAGACAAACGAUUCCACAACCGUCGGGCUCUGGAUUGACCUAGGAUCUCCCUCACCGCCAAGUGGUAACCCCUCAUCCCCUCCACAGUAGCCGCCACCCCUAAGACCAACAGCGAUCCCCGCCCUCACCUGCUGCUGGGACGGAGUCCUGAGCCUGUUUCCCAGGCUUGGGAAGUGGCUGGCCCAAGGUGAGCCCACCUCUGCGGAGUGGCCGUCCUGCAGCGCCCAAGGGCUCCUGGAGCGUUAGGGGAGCCCCGUGCACUGACGUGGAGAUAACCGUGCUCCACCCCACUGUACCUGUUGAGGCCCCACAGCUUCUCCUAGCAAGACCCUCCAAGACAGAGGCGCAUCCCAUCAGAAGGCCGCCCACCAAGACCUAGCUGGACCCUGGAAUCUCACUGACAGGUCCUCAGAAGAGACCAGGAAUCUGCAUUACAACAAGCUCCCCAGGGCAGGCUGAGUGCAGAGCCUCAAGACAAAAGCCACAGGCGUGACUCAUCUGCCCACCCUCAUCUCUCUCCAGGCCCUGCUCCUUUCGGAAUCACAACACCCAUCACAACACCCGCCACCUGAAGCCUCCUGUGUUUGCGCAGACUAUUACCCUGCUGGUCACCCUUGCCCUCUUGGCCCCUCUGCGUACUCCAUGUCCUCAUCCCUGGCUCAUUCUUACUUGUCCCCUGUGUCAAAGGGCUGCCCUAGGUCCUGCCUCGAGCCAGUCACUCAGGGCUGACUGCCUCCAGCACCACUCAAAUCACCCUUUCUGGGAGCUCAUCCUGCUCCCUCCAGGAAGCUGGAUGCGCUGGGUAGGGAAAGUCAGCAGGAAGACGCAGGGAACACCCUCAGGCCUUUCUGAGUCUCUGAUAAUUCUUAUCUAUAAAACAAAGAGUCUAUAAAACAAA